ensembl:lncRNA
GUGAGGUAGUAAAAACCAAAUACAAAAUAAAAGGGGGAGUCGACUCACAGGCGUCGUCGUGGGAAAAAAAGCGGCGUGGCGGUGUCUCACAGGGGGGGGGGGGAGAAGCAGGGAUUAUCAACACGGCAGCGCGGAGGCUGUGGGCGUCUGCAGGAAUUACAACGUAGGAAGUACAAUUAAAAAGCUGCAGGUAAGUGCUCGGAGCCGUGUGAGGCCGUGGGCGUGGCUCAGAGAAAGCGUUUGUAUGACUUUCUCUGGCAGAUGUGUGUGUGUGUGUGUGUGUGGUGUUGGUUUGAUUAUAGUGUCUUUGAGCCAAGAAAUGUGUGCUCCUCUGUCUGGAACAGCCGCCCGAGCACAGCAGAUGUGUACACAAAGAU